AAAGUAAGUAUGAACAUUAAAAAUUUCUAAUUUUAAAAAUUUAUGGUUAAAAUCCAUUUUUAUUUUA
rnacentral:tRNA from 1 species